GCUGGGCAUGGUGGCUCAUGCUUGUAAUCUCAGCACUUUGGGAAGCUGAGGCAGGAGGAUCCCUUGAGCCCAGGAGUUCAAGACUAACCUGAGCAACAUAGGGAGACCCCGUCUCUAUAAAAAUUUAAAAAAUUAGCUGGGCAUGGUGGUGUAUGCCUGUAGUCCCAGCUACCCAGGAGGCUGAAGUAGGGGGAUCACUUCAGCCCGGGAGGUCGAAGCUGCAGUGAGCCAUGACGUGCCACUGUACUCCAGCCUGGGUGACACAGCAACACCCUGCCUCU
rnacentral:sRNA from 1 species